rnacentral:misc_RNA from 1 species
UUUUCACUUUUAAUUUAUUCAGACAUUUAAACUCAGCUUCUAACAAUGAACGAAGGAGAAAGAUACGAGAAAAUUUGCAGUAAACUUUCAAUUACUCCCCAAAUGAGAGUGAUGGAAGGUUUAAACAAGAAUUGUCUCAACUUGAAAAGUCGGCAUUUGGGAUGCUUGCAAGUGAUUGCUAUAGCAGAGGCUUUACAUAACAACUCAAGCAUCGUUAAUUUUAAUUUGGAGGACAACAACGCUACUGCUAAAGGAAUAGCUAAACUAUGUUCCAUUCUAAAGCAAAAUCUCUCUCUUCAACUUCUAAAUAUUGGUGGUAAUUCUAUAGGAAAAGAAGGUUCGGCGUUUGUCGCCGAACUCUUAAUGGUGAAUGAAAGCUUGAAGGAAUUGAACUUGUCGUCUAAUAACUUUGACGCCUCGGCUGUCGCCCAUCUCUGUCAGGGUCUAAAGAUGAAUUCAACACUUUGUGUUCUAAACCUGAGUAGGAAUUUUAUUGACGAAGUGGGAGCUUAUCACUUGUCGCUAGGCCUAAAUGAGAAUCGAUGUUUAACAGAGUUGGAUCUUAGUUGGAAUAGAUUAUUGGGGAAGGGUGCAGUUGUUCUAUUUAAAUUUUUACAUUUAAAUAAAACAUUGAAAAGAAUAGAUGUCUCUUGGAAUGGUCUUGGAUAUGAAGGUUCCCUGGCGAUAAGGGAAUUCUUAAAAAAGAAUUCCAAUCUAGAGGAGUUACAUUUGAAUGAUAAUCGAAUAAAUUGGGAAGGAGCCAUUUUUAUAAGUCAAGGUCUUAAACAAAAUACUAAUUUAAAAUAUUUAGGCCUUGCUAAAAAUCCCCUAACGACAACCGGAUGUCUUGAUGUUAUCGACGCUGUUGGACGAUCGAAGUUGAGGAAACUCGAUCUCGGUGAUACGUCGGUUACAGGCGAAUUUGAGAUAAUAGUUAUGAUGAUAAAAAAAGAGCGCCAUUUUGAGUGUAAACACGGAGGAGUUGUUCCCUCGCACGAUAUUUUGGGUCAAAGGCAGGGGAGGAAAGUAGAACCCAUGCAGAGAGUGAUCGAUUACAUGAAAGUGAAGCAGUUGAGGCCAACCGAACUCUUUAGAUCUUUCGAUAAAAAGGUUACAAAGUUACUCUCUUUUGAAAAUUUUAUGGAAAGACUCGAAGUUUGUAUCUAUUUUUAAUAUCCCUUUCAGUACGUUUUAAUCAUUUAUAUAUAUAUAUAUUAUAUGUCUUUUUUUCUUCUUUUUUUCUAUCUAUGACAUCUUUUCCCUCUAACCCUUUCAACGUAUGUAUGUAUAUCUACUCGUCUGUCUAUCUUGGUUUGUCUUCUCUUUCUACUUCGUUGUCUAUCUGUCCGUGUCUUUUUCUUUUUCUUCUCUCUCUCGCUCCAUUCCUAACUCAGAAAUGUGGCAUCAAAUUGUACAAGCAUGAAAUUGCUGAAUUAAUGAAGCAUAUUCAAAUUACGACUGCGGAAGAAGCAGAUUCGACAAGUGUAAAUUACAAGUGAGUCUCUAUAAACAGCAAAAUAAUCUGUUUCCAAUCAAAUCCUUUCUUCUCUCGCUCUUUCUCUUCCUAAUUUCCAUACACCUUUAACUGACUUUUGCUUUUCUUCUUGACUAACUUCUAUCUAAUCAAAUAAUCAAAGACAAAGAGAGUAAUGAUUUCUAAUAAAUUCCUAGGAAAAUGAUUAAUAGCGUACAAAAACAAAUUAAAGCUGAAAGGCUCGUGAAAGCGGCCGAAAGACAAAGGAAACUAAAACUACAGGACUAUCAUCGGGAAAUUCUCAAUCAUAGCGUCGGGAUGACCUCUAAUUCUAAUACCACCUCUAAUUUAAAUGAAACGGAAGAACUGAAAGACAAAUUCAAUUAUUCUUCAAGACUCAGUAGUCUACCUUCGUCCAAUCUCAAUGAUAUUGAAAAGUCAAUGAAAGUUCAAAGACAUAGUUUGCCUGCUCUAAAUCAUCACGCGGUUGUUUCAAUGUCGGGCGAUUUGGGAAAAAAAGUGAACAUUUUUCCUUCUCCGAGACUACUUUCAAAUAUAAAAUCAAGGAAAACUUAAAAUUUAUCCUUUUUCGUGUUCUCUUCAAUCACAAAACUUGC